rnacentral:rRNA from 1 species
AACGAACGCUGGCGGCAGGCUUAACACAUGCAAGUCGAACGCAUCCUUCGGGGUGAGUGGCAGACGGGUGAGUAACACGUGGGAACGUACCUUUCGGUUCGGGAUAACCCAGGGAAACUUGGGCUAAUACCGGGAUACGUCCUUAGGGAGGAAAGAUUCAUUGCCGAAAGAUCGGCCCGCGUCUGAUUAGCUAGUUGGUGAGGUAACGGCUCACCAAGGCGACGAUCAGUAGCUGGUCUGAGAGGANGAUCAGCCACACUGGGACUGAGACACGGCCCAGACUCCUACGGGAGGCAGCAGUGGGGAUAUUGGACAAUGGGCGCAAGCCUGAUCCAGCCAUGCCGCGUGAGUGAUGAAGGCCCUA